AACGAACGCUGGCGGCAGGCCUAACACAUGCAAGUCGAGCGAAGCCUUCGGGCUUAGCGGCGGACGGGUGAGUAACGCGUGGGAACGUGCCCUUUAGUACGGAAUAGCCCCGGGAAACUGGGAGUAAUACCGUAUGUGGUCGAGAGACGAAAGAUUUAUCGCCAAAGGAGCGGCACGCGUUGGAUUAGGUAGUUGGUGGGGUAAUGGCCUACCAAGCCGACGAUCCAUAGCUGGUUUGAGAGGAUGAUCAGCCACACUGGGACUGAGACACGGCCCAGACUCCUACGGGUGGCAGCAAUGGGGAAUCUUAUACAAUGGGGGAAACCUUGAUCUAGCCAUGCCGCGUGAUCGAUGAAGGCCUUAGGGUUGUAAAGAUCUUUCAGUGGGGAAGAUAAUGACUGUACCCACAGAAGAAGCCCCGGCUAACUCCGUGCCAGCAGCCGCGGUAAUAC
rnacentral:rRNA from 1 species